UACGUAGGGUGCAAGCGUUGUCCGGAAUUAUUGGGCGUAAAGAGCUCGUAGGCGGUCUGUCGCGUCUGCUGUGAAAAUCCAGGGCUCAACCCUGGACCUGCAGUGGGUACGGGCAGACUAGAGUGCGGUAGGGGAGAUCGGAAUUCCUGGUGUAGCGGUGAAAUGCGCAGAUAUCAGGAGGAACACCGGUGGCGAAGGCGACUACCUGGCCUGUUCUUGACGCUGACGGCGCGAAAGCUAGGGGAGCAAACGGG
rnacentral:rRNA from 1 species